AUAGGGUUUACCUUUAAAGCUAGUAGUUGCCAUGUCUUUCCUGUCUUUGACAUUGAUAAGCACUGGCAUGUGUGUUAAACGUGGCUUCAACCGGGGACAAAUGAGAACUGACUCAAGACCUCCAUAACAUAUCAGAUAUCUUACAUGAAUUACAACUUACUGUCACAACCUCAGUUUGAUUUACAUUUAAUUAUUAUUUUAUAGAUAAGGAAACUCACACAAGUCACCUGAUGACUCACAGAACGGUCCCAAUACUCCUUCACUUUCUACGAUAUGCAAGUGAUAGGUUAACCCACUGAGGAGUUUUAUUCCACAGUUUUAGCAAAUAGACAGAAAGCACUUUCACGGCUUCCCACUAAUAGGUAUUUUCUUACUCGUCACCAGUACUUUUUCUCUUUUCUGGCUUAGAAUGAAAUAAUCAUAUCUAAGGCAAACAGAGGAGGUAAAGAUGAUUACAUUAAUAACACAAAGGGGACAAAACUACUAGAAUUUCACCUUUAAUUUUUUAUGUAUUUUGUUUGAAAAUCCUAUUUUAUGGAGACACAAAAUUCAGACUUUACUACAACAGUACCAUGGCACUGCUAAGCUAUUGCUUUUUAGCAAAAGAAAAAAAAAAGAUAAUAACCAAUUUUUUAAAAUCAUUGAUACUUUCAUAAGGUCCUUUAUUUUCAUCUUUAUUUUGUUAAACUGUUACGAAUUUACAUGUGUCAAUUAGUUUAAGGACUAGAAUUAGAACUGGCUUCAUCUGCUUGUGAAUGAUAAACAUCCACGUAUGAUGAGAAAGGUUUCCUCUGUAUCUGGACUGAAAUGGUGUUGCUAUUACCUAAUAACUGGAUCUCUCUUGUAAGGACACCGCUAACAACUUCCUGAUAAACAGCAUCAUGGUUGAGGAGACUUAACAUCCCUGCCCUUGGCAAAAUUAUAGCAAAGAGGAGUAAAAUUAUAGAGAACAGGAGUGAGGAGAAGUUUAUCAGGGUGAUUUAAGGCAGGACAGCGUGGCACAAUAAAUGAUCACUUGACAUCUGGUUACUGACAAGGGAUAAAGAAGAGACUUGAUAUUAAGGAGAAGGGCAGAGGGAGAGGUUCCCUCAGGGAAUCCAGCUGAGAGAAAUACCCUCCCAUCCCUACCCCCCCCCCCCACACACACACAAGGACUACCAUAAAAGAUUCCUGAGAUUUUUUUUUAACCCUAGAAGAAAGCUGGAGGCAAUUUUCAAAACCCUCAGUCAAUUUUAAAAUUCCCAGGCCCAGGUGAAAGAUUGAUUCUUAAGAUUAAGAUUUUACUUCUAAUUCUAAACACACAAGUGACUCAGCAAAAUGUCAGGGAUGGGAAAGGCACUUGAUAAAACCAGCCCCUUUUGGUGCUACCUCCAUUUCUGAAAUGUUCUUUACGUACACAUGGUCAAAUUUUCCUUCUUACCAGUUUUUGAGGGUGUCACAAUUUUAAUAGUCCACAUACAUAGAGUUAGAUAAACAGCAUUAAAAAUGGGAACCCUGGAGUUCCCAUUGUGGCUCAGGGGGUAAAGAACCCAACACAUGUCUGUGAGGAUGCAGGUUCAAACUUCAUUCAGUGAGUUAAGGAUCCAGUGUCGCUGCCUGUAGGUCGCAGAUGUGGCUCAGAUCCUUUGCUGCUGUGACUGUGGUGUAGGCUGGCAGCUGCAGCUCCGAUUCAACCCCUAGCCUGGGAACUUCCAUAUGCCGCAGGUGCAGCUGCAAAAAGAAAAAAAAGGGGGGAACUUUAUCAACUGCAUACAGGUUUUCCUGAAAGAAUAUCUUCAUAAAGCAUCCUUUUUAGACACCUCUGUUGAAUCAACAUACCGACGCCACUGGUAGGAGCAUAACUUUUGGAAUUCAGCUGUUGGGAUCGCAAUUUACCUUCCAUCAUUUGGACAAAUCACCCCUGGUUUCCAAAGUAAAUGCUAAAUGCAGUGGUAAUUCUCUAAGUCUAUGGAAUUUUAAAGAUCUGGUCUCAAAUAUGGCUCCAUCAUCUAAUAAUACAAUGACCAUGGCAGGGGCUUCACUUCUUUGGUUAAAAUGUCCUCACGUGUAAAAUGGUGAUUAUGGGUAACCUAUGUCAUGGAAUUGUGAAAAUGGCUGCAUAUGUUAAUGUACUGAAGGCAUUUAGUAUUGUGCCUGACAAGCAGUUAGGGGUUAAAACGGGCAGUGAUUACUAAGAUCAAUAUCUAUCCCAGGCAGAAAGAUAUCUUUCCUGCCUACUUACAAAUGCUUAUAUGAAAUUAGUUAACUCAUUGCUGGGAGAGUUCCUUGAUCUUUGGCACUCAUGCUACUUUCUAUGAUAAACAAAACAAAACAAAAUGAGCAAGCAAAAAACUCCAAAAUGCUGCAGCCCUGAAAUUCUCAUAUCUUCUGCUUUUGUUCACCCUCUCUUUUUCUACACUGAGAACCAAGAGGAAGUUGAGAAAUUCUAGGCAUGGCUUGGAUGCCGGUGAUACACAGAGGUCAUGACAUCUCUGUUUUUUAAUCUUGUCAUUUUCCUCUUCGUGAAUAGAGACUCCAUCCUUGAUGUCUACUUGGUUGCUCUCAGUAAUUUCAUUCUCUCUCUUCCUGUCCUCAUCAAACCCUGUUCUCAGAGCACCUCUCUAUGCCACCUUGAAGUAACACCUGAUAAAACCACAAAUGUUGGAUUUCUCAAAGACACGGGCAUUCAAACUAGGAUAAAAAUCUUAAACCUAAGAAAAGAAAGUCAGCAUAAUUCAACAAAGAGAAUUCAGCCAUGUAGUUGCAGGUGUGUGUGUGUGUAGGGGGGGAAACCAGGACUUUCUAGUAAUCCCUAAAGAUCAUUCCUGUGGCUAGCACAUAGCCUGUCCAAAAGAGUAGGCAAAUAGGAUCAAAAGAGCAUAAUAGCAAGAGUAUAAAAUGGCCAAGUGACUUUAUAACCUUGUCUCAUUUUUUUCUUCCAGUCUCCAUUUACUUUCUAUGCUGUCUGGGUCCUGGAUUUGAAUCCUAUUUAUUAACUACUAAACAUUAAGCAGAUCAAACAAAUCGCCUCAUCCUCAGUUUCCCCACCAAUGAAAGGUUUAUUUCUAUUGGUUUUUUUGGUGGUGGGGGAAAUUACUUAACAUACAUGAAAGCCCUUCUCAAAAGCUAGCCAAGUAAUUAUUAAGAUGAUGCCGUUCCCAUUCCCAUCUGACUCGGGCUAACUACAUAUUUUAGACAUCCCCCUUUCUACUUCUUAAAAGUUAGACUCCUGGCCUUGCAAUGCUAAUAAAAAACUAAGAAAGAUCUUUGUAAAGGCAGUGUGUAAAAAUAACUUCAGACUCCGAAAGUCAUACUCACCAUUUUUCACAACUGGAUGUAAUACCUUCCUGGAAAAUAGGUUGCUGUGAAAAGUUUCAUCUGGCUCUUUUUUCUCCCUCAUUUAUGUUACAAUAUUUUCAGUAAUUCAAAUAAAAUUUUUUUUUUUCUUUGCUCUUGUGCAAGAAAUGUUGAAGGUCUUGUGGCCCUAGCAUAGGGAGACAGCUACUAGAAAUGAAAAGGAGCUUCUCCAGUUGGAAGUUUAUGGAGGUAGAGAUUCUCCUGCAUUUAAUUUCCUCUGGAAGGAAAGCCCUUUGUCACAGUGUUUUCACAGGUCUUUUGCUGCAGAUGUACCACUUUAGUUUAGGCCUGACUUAAUAAGGGAAGAAUAAGCAGAUUCAUGAAUUAUCCUCAGUGUAUGUAUUUAAUCAAGGGAAUGACUGUGUUCUUGACUUUGUAUUAGAUUUUGCCUUUUAAAGAACAUUUAAUAUUGCAUUUUACUCAAAGGAGACAAUUUUGAAUGGAAAUGGCUUUGAUCAAGGCAUUAAUGGGAUAAUCAAGUUUAAACUAGAAUCAAGUUUAAUGGAAUUUCCUAUUCCUUCUUUUCCUGUCAUAAAUCAUAAUUACCCAUUUGUUAUUCAAACAUAUCCAGUUUGUUCUAUUCAGGUCUGGUGUAAGACUAUAAGCCAGGCAUACAGUACUGUGGGGGACCUUAAAUUAUCCAGCCAUGCUCCUUAUUUAGCAGAUAAAGGAAAUGGUGCUCAAAAAACCCGAGAAGUGAAGGGCUUUGUCCAAGGUUGCACCAAUGCCUGUUGUUACAAAACCACACAGGAAUGCCUCAUCGUUCCCAUUUGAGUAUCUCCCAUGACUUCUCCCCCUUUCAACCUCUCUUUUCGGCUAUUAUCUGGUAUUCAUUAGCUCUCAAGAUGUGCAGAAGCUUUCAGGUGGUUCAUAACACUCAACACUCUCCUUCUUUGGUCUAUAUCAGGAGCGAUCUGUCUCUUGUUUUCUUGACAUAUUAUUUCAUUGUAAGGAUUUAACGACUGGUGAUGGAUUGGCAUGUGAUCAUGGUGUCCAGAUAAUACGGUCCAACGUUUUAACUUUUAGGACUGAGGGCCCAUAGAUGCCCCCAACUGACUUAAAAUAUUAGCUCUCAGAGGGAGUCCUGCAGGUGACACUCUCAAACACCAUCUUCUAUUUUUCUGUUUCUUCCAGCUACAUGUACAGUUCUCUGCAUUUGCUGUAAGCUACAAAGAGAUUCUGUACCUACUCCAUUUUCAAUGUUUGAUAAAAAUGCAUGAACUUAUUUAUCAAUGAUUUUUAAAAUUUCUUAAUCAGCAAAGCAUAAUCAAACCCUAAAAAAGCAAUCAAGCACCAAAUUGAUUAAAAUGGAUUCCACUUAGGUUCCAAGCACUGAGGAGGGGUAUUCAAUCACCAUGUUUUCCUCUAUGGUUUAACUUUUAAAAUUCUUUUUCAGAAGAAGUCCAUGAGAGAAAUGGUUCUAGUCAGGGGAAGAAAGAUUAAUCAUUCUUCUGAUAAAAGCAGGAGGAAUAAGCUCUUGUUCAUAAAUACUGAGAAAGAUAAAAGAAGUAACGCCUUUAGGGAAACUUUUACCAAUGCAAAGUCCAAGUCAAUACAAGGCAUGCACUUGUAUUCAGGAUAAAUAAUAGCCAGUGGAGGCAAUACAAUUGUUUUGAACAUGUUACUUUGUGUAAUAGCAGAGAAAGAGUUUUAUACAGCAGGGGCUUUCAUCCCUGCUGGCCUGUGGUAAGGCACCCCUGCCUCUAGAGUCAAUAGAAGCCUUGUGGGGAGUUGAACCUUCACCCCCAUCUGGCAGUAAUAAGAUACCCAUUUAUCUGCCUGCUGGUGUGGAGCCAGAGGUCCACUGAAGAAUCAUGAUUUUCACCAUUUCCCAGAAGGAAUGAGGUCAUCACAUUGUGUUGCUGGGGGAAGAUCACCUAGAUUGCUAGAAAUUCCACUCCCUCUUAGCUGUAAGAAAGAACCCCUCCCUCAGCUUCAGUGGAAGCCAAGAAGGAAUCUCAUCUUCUAUCUCCACCAGGCAGUAAAGAGGGGUGCCCUCUUCCCCUGCCGAAGAUGUGUGAGAGAAAACCAGCUAAAGGGGAUGGUUUAAAUAAAAUAUAGUGUCUCAUAAUAGAACACAAAAAUGUCCAGAUUACCAUCCAAAAUCAUGACCAAUAGCAAGAAACAGAAAGAUCUCAAACAGUAUGAGAAAAAGGCAAUUGAUAUCAUCACUAAGAUGACAGAGAUGCUGGAAUUUAUUUGAAAAAAUCUGAAAGCAUCCAU
rnacentral:lncRNA from 1 species